rnacentral:lncRNA from 1 species
GGUACAAUUUUCCAGGACGGCAUUAAGCACAAAAACUCAGGACGACUAGUGUAAAUAAUUUUUGAAACAAUCGAAAAAGUAGUCCAGCCAUCGUUUUUCAAACGGACAUUUUAAAUCGGUAGCUAGUGGAUUUACUCUAUAUUAAUAAAAUUCCAGUGGCAUCUGGAAGUUCUUUCCGAAACGCAUUAACCAUGGAAAAUUUCCGCCGCCAAUUAGCUUUCUAUAAAAGUAAUUAUAUUAAUUGCGGCGGAAAGAAAUUAGCGCCGGUAUCUAGUCGAUACUGAAAUAUUUUGGCCAUUUAUCAAACUUUACCAGCAUCGAGUCAUUUGUCAAAACGCGUAAUUGGUAAACCAGCAUCGACAGACAAAUAAUUCGGAGAGUAAAUGUAAAAGUAGCUAGCACCGUCCGCGCCUGACUUCCACAUCUUUUAAACUGAUAGAUUCGAAAAUGGAAUUUUUAUAGUCCGAAGAGAAAAGAGUCCUAUCCUACGUCAGCCGGGAUAUUCCUACAUCUCUUCUUUUCCAACAAGCCCAGCAACCAAAACUUAAGGUUGGAGAAUAAAAAGUUUGGUAAAGGAGGAGGAUAAAUUCCUGACUGAUAGGCGUUGGUAGUUGGAGAAGACUCGAUUUGAUAUUGGAUGGGUGAAAUAUGGUGACUAGUAAUUAAAGCGCCUCUUUUUCUCUGGGAUAGGAAACAGAAGAUAUCGGAGCAUGGUUGCAUCGACGCUAUGGUUAAUGAUCCCUAUUCUUUGGCCCAACCUAUCGGCACCAGUCUCAGCUUUUUCCAGAAAGACACCGAUAGAAAGCAGUGGCCUCUAUUAUUACUUCCGGCCGGCCGAUAAAAUUUGAUAUCCAGUCGGUUUUUUUUUUUUUUUUCGCUUCAAACCAAUUUUAAUAUUCAAAUCGAGAAAAUUCAAUAUUAACCGCUUGGAACGGAAAAGCAUACAGUUUUUACUGGAACAUUAUAAAAGUAGAACGAUUUUAGCGAAGUAUGGUAGAAUCUAGCCUAAUGACCUUUAAUUAAAGGUUAAAAUAGAGAAUUUGUUAGGAUCCAGUUAUCGUGCCAGGCACGCCUUUUUAUUUCCCUACAAAUUCCGACGACCCGCCAUAAACGACCAGCGUCCAUUUCAUCUCCGUGCUGGAGGAAGCGGAUUAGAGGGCAGAAUUCCCACAGCCAAGAAAAACCAUCCAUCCUCGCCUGGACAAUUACUUAAAUAACAAAAAAUCUUCAACUACACUGGGUUUAAAGGUAAUUUUUAUGGCGGAACUGGAUGAUGCUGAGUUGGGUGCCCAGCGUCCAUCUAAAUCCCUCAUAAAAGUAUAGCCAGCGCAAUAAUCUAUGAUAUACAUGGCGUAAGGAAGAAUAGAAAGUGUUAUUGAACAUCCCAUCCUAUAGGAGUGAUUCGAGCCGUAAAAGAGCUCCGUUCCAUCUAACAAUUGACAACAAAGUGAGCGCCGACCAGUCGACUUUUCUUCUAACCCCGAGGGCGGGAAGUAGCGGAGGAGGCCGAACAGGUUAUAGCCACCCGAUGGAAGUCGGAUGGCUAGACCCUGCUCGGCCAGUUCAUUGUGGAAAUCGAACGGUCACCCGCCGACUGUCCGGUGACCGUUCGACUUCCACAACGGGGCUGCCACUUAGGCGCUGGAAAUCUGCUUACCAGCGAUUUAUGGAAGACUGUCUAGGGCUACAGAAGCCCAGGCUCCGUUUUGAAAUUUAUAGUUACCAACCUUGGCCUCUAGUGGACCGAAAUCCACGAAUCUCGACCGAAAGAGAGCUAAAUUUAGUAGGUGGAGAAAUGGAAUCUGGCUCUUUUCGAAAUGAGAAGCAGCCAGAUAUUAGAUCAUUAGAAUCGCCGUUGGUAUAUUUAUGCAGCGGUUGAAAUUAUAUUUUUGAAAAUUGAAUUACAGAUGGAACGGCCGAAACAUUUCCUAUUAAAACCUGCCUCCCCUACUAUUUACUUUGGUUCCUCCAUUUUUAUGAUUUAAAAUAUAUUGUUAACCGAUUCCGAAUACGGUCGAUAGGCCUAGAUGACGUCUUACCGCGCCGAUCCUUAAUCACCCAUCUGUCAUCGCAUUCUUCCUCUGGCCAUUUCCUUCCAGAAACUUUUAGUUACUCUUUAUAGUAAAUGGAGGCAUUGGAACCAUCCGUCGAGGUCGGCCAGAUAGCCACGGUGGAAGCGUGCUGCGCUUCCACCUGGGAAUCCGGGUUCAAUUUAGGGUCCAGCUGGUUGAAUCCCAAUCUCCAUCCGGCUGCUGAUCCCAUAGGAAUGUGGGCGGCCGUGAUGGGCAUGGUAAUAUUCCGCCGCUUUCCACUCGGUGAGUUAUUCACCUAGUGAAAAAGGGACCGACGGUAAAAUGGGAGGUAAGGUGCACGGGUCUAAACAAAUAUAAUACGGCUGGUGUUCGUCUCUGAAGCAGGAAAUGAUGUCACCGGCCACCCCACCGUGACUAACCUCGACUGCUUAGCGCCGUUAAACGCGUGAUUCGCGUGAUGCGCGUGUUCCUAUCUGUUGGAACGGUCAGCUGCACGGCCGAGGUCAUCUUCCAAUUGGCCCGCAGGUGAUGGAAGUACGAAAUAAUUGGUGGGUGACCAUUCCAACUCGGCCCGUCCGCCGUCAUCUCCAAAUACGAAGGCAAAUAGAGAAAGAAGUCAGACUGCCGUUUCUCGUUUCGAUCGAUAAAAAUGUUAAAGGUGGCGGCGCUUCCGUCUGGAUUAACUAUCGAGUGAGUCGGCCAAAUCGGGAUCCAAAUAUUACGCUUCCCAUCUCCAUCCCGUUAACGACGGGAUCGGCUGGGAAAUUUUAUGGAAUUAGAACCCUAGGACCGAUGAACUGCCGAUGAUGCUCGCUUUAAUCAGAAAAUUACUAUUAAAACUAAUUCUCCGAUGAAGUCUGGUUUUUAAAAGAUGUUAGCUGAUAAAUCGAAUAGAUAGGAAAGAUGACUGGUAUUUUAAGUCAGCUUAAUUGCUAUCCAUCUCCAAAGGAUUUGGCUACAGAUAUUUUUAGUUAACGGACGUAAAACGGCUUUCCAAGGGGUUUCUACCUGGUUUUAAAAUCGAUUUUCCGAUUUAUAAAAGCCAGUCAACGCUCGGCACCUAUCCGAUUAACUAUUCAAUUACGCAAUUAAUUUAGGUCAGAAUCGAUUUUUUUUAGACCGAUUGGAGAAAGGCUACCGCCAUCCGAUUACCCGUCAUACGAUUGUUGUUAUCCACUCCCGGUAGGUAGUUGGUGCGACUUACUGAUGGCUUUUUGCUACCCGAACUUGGAUGAAAAUAAAAAUUAAGACCAACGGCUAUUUCUUUUUCCGAAUUGAUAACAGUCAGCGGAUGUGACUGCGAAUAAAAUCGGAUGGUUAUACCAGUUAGAAGAUUGGGAAAGAGAGUGAUAAAAAGAAGUAAUAACUUCCUGUCGAUAUUUUCACCUGGCCCCUUUGUACAGCUUAAAUUAGCCUCUGGCUAAAGUCGAUGGUCGGAGUGGUUCGGCCAGUUUUCAUCCUGGAUGGGCCGUAAUUAUUUCGGGCCUCCAGUUGGUCGACCUCUCUUCCUUUAACUUUUUUUUUACUUUUCGCGGUCUGGUCUAACUUGACAUCAUAGCUACCUGUCGUAAGUUGCAGAUUAAAAAGGAAGCUGGGGAAAGAUGGUUUUUUUGCAGCGCGAUCUGGCCUGUUGAUAUCGUUUCCAGGACAACCAACAGCGUGCCUUGUUUUCUAUGUGAUUAAAUGCCACCAAUUUCGAGAGAGUUUUCCCAGAGUCGGAAGCUGGAGAGCGUCCUACACGUCAGUCACAGCCGGAACCCAAUUGAGGGAACAACAAAUAGCCUUGAAAUGGAAUUCCUUUCUUUACCGCCUGGUUCAAAAAUCGUCUUUUACUCUUCCGGUUGUGACCAAUAGGGCCACUUGGUUGGGCCCCAAAUGAGUAGCACCCACCCCUCUGACUUUAGCCACUGUUUUUUCCUCCGGUUACGCCAUUUUAAAUCCUACAGAAAGGAAAAUUAUUUAUUUAGGCAGGAAAAAGACACCAAAAUUGACCGAAGAGAGAAAAGUUGAAUGGUUAUCAGACGGAGAGAAAUUUAUUCGGAACCAAUUUAGAACUAUCAUUUCCGCCCGAGAAUAGAGAAGUAAUCUCCGACUGGAAAUAAUGGAAGGUUGGAAACUAUUCGUGUCGUUUCUUGUUAGAUAAGAAAGAUUACAUCAAAUGUGAAAGGAUAUUAUUGGCUAAUCUCAUUUUUCUUAAUGCUAUCAAAAUUUAAUUGGUUAUCGCCAGUAUUCCACCCACUUCCCGAGCCAGAUCAAAACGCAAUUCCUUGGAUAGAAUAGGAAGAAAACUACGAAAAUCAGUGGAUAACGGACCCAUCUCCGGCCAAACAUCUAUAGCGCUUUUAGUGUCUAAAGUCCACGAUAGAAGUUUAAAGAAGUGGAUGAAUAACUAGAAGAUCAAGAGAGUUUUAUCUAUUCGUUUUUUCCGCCUGUUAUAGUGCAUACGGUUUUAAAAUACCGACCGUUGAAUUUUCGUAUCUUAUGUGUACGUCUCCUGGGUGGGGCCGUCGACCUUUCCGUGAUAUGACGUCACCAUCAUUCAUUCCGUCCCCAUAGAAAUGGCCAGUAAAUUGUCUGCCUCAUCUUCCCACCGCUAUUAAACCCUCGAUGAUUUCCAUUGUUCCCACACCAGCUUCCAAAUCCUUUUUUCGGCCGUAAUAUUUUUUAUUGUUAUCUGGAAUAGAGGAGAGGCCGAAAACUUCUGUCGACUUUUCAUAAUCUAAGAUAUCACCCGUCUUAUCGGCUACGAAAGAAACGCUUUAA